rnacentral:rRNA from 1 species
UACGUAGGGGGCGAGCGUUGUCCGGAGUUACUGGGCGUAAAGCGCUUGUAGGCGGUCCACCAAGUUUGGGGUGACAGUUGCCGACUUAAUCGGCAAAGUGCCUCAAAGACUGGCGGACUUGAGGGCCACAGAGGGACAUGGAACUCCAGGUGUAGUGGUGAAAUGCGCAGAUAUCAGGAGGAACACCAAUGGCGAAGGCAGCUCGCUGGGACGGUACUGACGCUGAGACGCGAAAGCGUGGGGAGCAAACAGG